rnacentral:rRNA from 1 species
GUACACAAAAAUGCACAUAUUGUGAGCUCGAUGAGUAGGGCGGGACACGUGGUAUCCUGUCUGAAUAUGGGGGGACCAUCCUCCAAGGCUAAAUACUCCUGACUGACCGAUAGUGAACCAGUACCGUGAGGGAAAGGCGAAAAGAACCCCGGCGAGGGGAGUGAAAAAGAACCUGAAACCGUGUACGUACAAGCAGUGGGAGCCUCUUUAUGGGGUGACUGCGUACCUUUUGUAUAAUGGGUCAGCGACUUAUAUUCUGUAGCAAGGUUAACCGAAUAGGGGAGCCGAAGGGAAACCGAGUCUUAACUGGGCGUUAAGUUGCAGGGUAUAGACCCGAAACCCGGUGAUCUAGCCAUGGGCAGGUUGAAGGUUGGGUAACACUAACUGGAGGACCGAACCGACUAAUGUUGAAAAAUUAGCGGAUGACUUGUGGCUGGGGGUGAAAGGCCAAUCAAACCGGGAGAUAGCUGGUUCUCCCCGAAAGCUAUUUAGGUAGCGCCUCGUGAAUUCAUCUCCGGGGGUAGAGCACUGUUUCGGCAAGGGGGUCAUCCCGACUUACCAACCCGAUGCAAACUGCGAAUACCGGAGAAUGUUAUCACGGGAGACACACGGCGGGUGCUAACGUCCGUCGUGAAGAGGGAAACAACCCAGACCGCCAGCUAAGGUCCCAAAGUCAUGGUUAAGUGGGAAACGAUGUGGGAAGGCCCAGACAGCCAGGAUGUUGGCUUAGAAGCAGCCAUCAUUUAAAGAAAGCGUAAUAGCUCACUGGUCGAGUCGGCCUGCGCGGAAGAUGUAACGGGGCUAAACCAUGCACCGAAGCUGCGGCAGCGACACUAUGUGUUGUUGGGUAGGGGAGCGUUCUGUAAGCCUGUGAAGGUGGCCUGUGAGGGUUGCUGGAGGUAUCAGAAGUGCGAAUGCUGACAUAAGUAACGAUAAAGCGGGUGAAAAGCCCGCUCGCCGGAAGACCAAGGGUUCCUGUCCAACGUUAAUCGGGGCAGGGUGAGUCGACCCCUAAGGCGAGGCCGAAAGGCGUAGUCGAUGGGAAACAGGUUAAUAUUCCUGUACUUGGUGUUACUGCGAAGGGGGGACGGAGAAGGCUAUGUUGGCCGGGCGACGGUUGUCCCGGUUUAAGCGUGUAGGCUGGUUUUCCAGGCAAAUCCGGAAAACCAAGGCUGAGGCGUGAUGACGAGGCACUACGGUGCUGAAGCGACAAAUGCCCUGCUUCCAGGAAAAGCCUCUAAGCAUCAGGUAACAUCAAAUCGUACCCCAAACCGACACAGGUGGUCAGGUAGAGAAUACCAAGGCGCUUGAGAGAACUCGGGUGAAGGAACUAGGCAAAAUGGUGCCGUAACUUCGGGAGAAGGCACGCUGAUAUGUAGGUGAAGCGACUUGCUCGUGGAGCUGAAAUCAGUCGAAGAUACCAGCUGGCUGCAACUGUUUAUUAAAAACACAGCACUGUGCAAACACGAAAGUGGACGUAUACGGUGUGACGCCUGCCCGGUGCCGGAAGGUUAAUUGAUGGGGUUAGCGGUAACGCGAAGCUCUUGAUCGAAGCCCCGGUAAACGGCGGCCGUAACUAUAACGGUCCUAAGGUAGCGAAAUUCCUUGUCGGGUAAGUUCCGACCUGCACGAAUGGCGUAAUGAUGGCCAGGCUGUCUCCACCCGAGACUCAGUGAAAUUGAACUCGCUGUGAAGAUGCAGUGUACCCGCGGCAAGACGGAAAGACCCCGUGAACCUUUACUAUAGCUUGACACUGAACAUUGAGCCUUGAUGUGUAGGAUAGGUGGGAGGCUUUGAAGUGUGGACGCCAGUCUGCAUGGAGCCGACCUUGAAAUACCACCCUUUAAUGUUUGAUGUUCUAACGUUGGCCCGUAAUCCGGGUUGCGGACAGUGUCUGGUGGGUAGUUUGACUGGGGCGGUCUCCUCCUAAAGAGUAACGGAGGAGCACGAAGGUUGGCUAAUCCUGGUCGGACAUCAGGAGGUUAGUGCAAUGGCAUAAGCCAGCUUGACUGCGAGCGUGACGGCGCGAGCAGGUGCGAAAGCAGGUCAUAGUGAUCCGGUGGUUCUGAAUGGAAGGGCCAUCGCUCAACGGAUAAAAGGUACUCCGGGGAUAACAGGCUGAUACCGCCCAAGAGUUCAUAUCGACGGCGGUGUUUGGCACCUCGAUGUCGGCUCAUCACAUCCUGGGGCUGAAGUAGGUCCCAAGGGUAUGGCUGUUCGCCAUUUAAAGUGGUACGCGAGCUGGGUUUAGAACGUCGUGAGACAGUUCGGUCCCUAUCUGCCGUGGGCGCUGGAGAACUGAGGGGGGCUGCUCCUAGUACGAGAGGACCGGAGUGGACGCAUCACUGGUGUUCGGGUUGUCAUGCCAAUGGCACUGCCCGGU